rnacentral:rRNA from 1 species
GAUCCUGGCUUAGGACGAACGCUGGCGGCGUGCUUAACACAUGCAAGUCGAACGAUGACGAUGGUGCUUGCACCGUCUGAUUAGUGGCGAACGGGUGAGUAACACGUGAGUAACCUGCCCUCCUCUUCGGGAUAACCGCCGGAAACGGUGGCUAAUACCGGAUAUGAAUGCCUGCCGCAUGGUGGGUGUUGGAAAGAUUUAUCGGUGGGGGAUGGACUCGCGGCCUAUCAGUUUGUUGGUGAGGUAAUGGCUCACCAAGGCGAUGACGGGUAGCCGGCCUGAGAGGGCGACCGGCCACACUGGGACUGAGACACGGCCCAGACUCCUACGGGAGGCAGCAGUGGGGAAUAUUGCACAAUGGGCGAAAGCCUGAUGCCAGCGACGCCGCGUGGGGGAUGACGGCCUUCGGGUUGUAAACCUCUUUCAGCAGGGAAGAAGCGAGAGUGACGGUACCUGCAGAAGAAGCGCCGGCUAACUACGUGCCAGCCGCUGC